ACAACAAUCGGACUGUCGGUCUACCGAGCAAUUUCAUCCGCUCGGUGGAAGAUCUUCAAUUUCUCGU
rnacentral:pre_miRNA from 1 species